CCAAGGAGGAGCUAUGACUGUGAAGAAGGACAAAAGCCUGUGUGUGCCUGCACAUUGUAUGGUGACCACCACGGAGGACACAGCAUCAGCAGGCUUGUAAGCUCCAAGUGUUGAGGGAGGAGAAGGCUGGCUGAACUUUCAUUUCCUGCAAGGGUUUCCUGUAUGAUGUAACAAUGAGAGUGGGAGCAGCAAACAGCUCCUCAAGCAUUAACUGUGUCAGGAUGUUUGAGAUUGUGUGAAGCAAGUGGUACUCAGAGGCUCGAAGCAAAGUUUUUCUCCAUUGUCCCAGCUGGAAUACCCUCUUGUACUUGGACUAAGACCUGUGAGUUGUGGGAUAUGAGAUCUGCUGAGAAAAGCAUUGUAAAGUUCUUCAGCAAUGAACUAAUUACUCUGGCACUUGAUUUGAAGCAAUAAUGGGAGUGGAGGAGGUAGAAACACCCUAGCUUGUAGCUAUCCUACUAACUUUGAUGAAGAGGCACCAUACAAAACAUUUGUUACCAUCCAUUCCUGGAUUUAUAUGAGCAUUAAAGAUCUUCUGCCAUGGUCAAAGAAUAAGAUGGUUUAUACUACCCUGUAGCACUUACAGCAGCAAGGCUUCAACAUGCCCACUUGAAAUAACUCAGGCU
rnacentral:lncRNA from 1 species